rnacentral:rRNA from 1 species
GACGAACGCUGGCGGCGUGCUUUAUACAUGCAAGUCGAACGAUGAAGUUCCUUCGGGAAUGGAUUAGUGGCGAACGGGUGAGGAACACGUGAGAAACCUGCCUUUCAUUCUGGGAUAACACCGGGAAACCGGUGCUAAUACCGGAUACUCCGUCUUGGCGGCAUCGCCGAGCCGGGAAAAAAUUUUGAUGAAAGAUGGUCUCGCGGCCUAUCAGCUAGUUGGUGAGGUAAAGGCUCACCAAGGCGACGACGGGUAGCCGGCCUGAGAGGGCGACCGGCCACACUGGGACUGAGACACGGCCCAGACUCCUACGGGAGGCAGCAGUAGGGAAUAUUGGGCAAUGGGCGCAAGCCUGACCCAGCGACGCCGCGUGAGGGAUGAAGGUCUUCGGAUUGUAAACCUCUUUCAGUAGGGAAGAAGCGAAAGUGACGGUACCUAAAGAGGAAGCACCGGCUAACUAUGUGCCAGCCGCCGCUGUAA